CACAGUCUCCAAGGUGGAGCCAAGCACAGCCAGGUGCAGUGGUUGAGAAGCUCCUGUUGCCAGUCAGCUGCCUGAGGGGGCUGAACCAUCGGGCCAGUGAAGCACUCUUAUAGCUGCUGUUCAUCUUAGUGGAUGAUGCUGGGGACACAGUGCACAGUACAGUAUGGUGGAGAUGAAACAAUUAGUAUUUAACUUUGGGCAGCAAAGAGUACAGAUGAGGCACAAAGUUCUGCUACCAAAUAAAAGGGAAGACAAGGAGUACUGAAAUUCAGCGACUGGCCUGAGUCUGCUUGGUGCCUUGAUGUAAUGACUUCAGUGGAAAAAAAAAAAGUCUCAGCACUGAGUAAGGUCUAUGGGAGGCCAAAAAAGAACUUCAUAAGACCCGCAUUCUUCACAGCUGGAAGACUGUAAUCUGGAGAGUUACUGUUCAAAACCAGAUAUUCUGCAUGGCACAGAGUAGGUCACUUUGAAGCUCCCUCCACUCAUGUUACAUCAGCAGCUUGAGAAAAGUGGCUGUAUCAGAGGCUUCAAAGAGGUAAAACAUUCAGCACCUUGAGCAGGAAGAUGAGGGUGAAGAAAGGCAGAAGACUUUCAUAGAGAGCCCUUUGGUCUGCUUUGGCUGUCAAGUCUACUGCCAAAGUUAGUUUCUGGAAAGUGUUGAUGAAGACUGAAAUUAGCUGCCUUGGAAAUCAAAUCUUUUAACC
ensembl:lncRNA